rnacentral:rRNA from 1 species
UACGUAGGGUGCAAGCGUUAAUCGGAAUUACUGGGCGUAAAGCGUGCGCAGGCGGUGAUGUAAGACAGGUGUGAAAUCCCCAGGCUUAACCUGGGAACUGCAUUUGUGACUGCAUUGCUGGAGUGCGGCAGAGGGGGAUGGAAUUCCGCGUGUAGCAGUGAAAUGCGUAGAUAUGCGGAGGAACACCGAUGGCGAAGGCAAUCCCCUGGGCCUGCACUGACGCUCAUGCACGAAAGCGUGGGGAGCAAACAGG